UUUCAUUCACUUGAACAACUUUAUAGCAAUUGUUUUCUCUUCUCCUUCCUCUUUUUAUUCAUUUUUUUCCAAAGGAGUAUGUAUUGAAAUAUUACAAACAUAAUUCCUUUUUUUUCUUCCUCUUAUCCUUCUAUUUUUUUAUUCUUUUUUUUUCUUUUCUAUUUUCUUUUUCAAUUUUUUUUCUUUUUCUGCCAUCUUCUGAAAUAUUA
rnacentral:lncRNA from 1 species